rnacentral:rRNA from 1 species
AGUGAACGCUGGCGGUAGGCCUAACACAUGCAAGUCGAACGGCAGCACAGUAAGAGCUUGCUCUUACGGGUGGCGAGUGGCGGACGGGUGAGGAAUACAUCGGAAUCUACUUUUUCGUGGGGGAUAACGUAGGGAAACUUACGCUAAUACCGCAUACGACCUACGGGUGAAAGCAGGGGAUCUUCGGACCUUGCGCGAUUGAAUGAGCCGAUGUCGGAUUAGCUAGUUGGCGGGGUAAAGGCCCACCAAGGCGACGAUCCGUAGCUGGUCUGAGAGGGUGAAUCGCCACCAUGGAACUGAGACACGGUCCCGACCCCUACGGGAGGCAGCAGUGGGGAAUAUUGGACAAAGGGCGCAAGCCUGAUCCAGCCAUACCGCGUGGGUGAAGAAGGCCUUCGGGUUGUAAAGCCCUUUUGUUGGGAAAGAAAAGCAGCAGGUUAAUACCCCGCUGUUCUGACGGUACCCAAAGAAUAAGCACCGGCUAACUUCGUG